CUGCCAUUCUGAUUCAAAAACCAACUGCCAUUCCAGCAUGAAGAUGCAAGAGGACAUGGUUGAACUUAUAAAUAGCCUACCUAUAAGCACAUUGAAAGAUAAUUGAUGAAGCAUUUUAGUGUGGAGUCAGAUGAUGUGACUGUUUCAUGAAGCCAUUAGAAGACUGUUGCUGACCUUUGAUGAAUGCAGACUGGCAGUAACCCAAUUAGAGGCAGAUGAUCUCUCCUUCGGCUGCUUCUGAUGACAACAACUGCAUGAACCAGCCAGGUUAAAAAAUAAAUCAGCCAGAUGUGUACCAAGAUUGACGUGGGGCAUCAUUCAAACAAAGACAUGCCUCCAUGGCCACCAGUGCAUAUUUCCAAAUGAUAUUUGCAUGUAAUGACAAUAAAAUCUAAAAACUA